GCAGAAUGCUAAGGGGAUGCAGACAGAGCUGGCUAGAUUCACCGAGGAGCUGGAAUGGUGGUGUCUGAGCUGAAGUUUACAGCAGCCUCCUUCAACAGAGACAAGCACGUGGCUGGAGUGAACAUGCACACAGCUGUGCAUCGUGAAUCUAGGGCUUCCUAUUCUAUUCCCAUCUAUUCCCCCAAACAACCCACGGAGAUCAAGAGGAUACCUCACAGGUACAGAGAACUGUUCCCAAAUUACUCAUAACCCGAGUCUCUCAUAAGUGGGACACUAUCCCACCCAUCAAGAUGUUAACCAACCACUCACAGUGGUAAUGGAGGUCAGUCCUUGCCAACCACAUGGUCCUCCCUGGUUUGUAUCCAUUGUCUUGAACACUAAGUUGGAAAUUGUUUCUCAAUUGUUUAGCCUCAAAUGUAAGACAAGUCCCCCCGCCACACACACACACUUUGCCUGGGAAGUAAAUGAAAUUACACAUUGUUCUCAGAAAUGCAAUUUUUAUCACACUGUUUCCACAUAUUAAAAUCCUUGCUUUCCCUUUAAAU